rnacentral:rRNA from 1 species
CCCAGACUCCUACGGGAGGCAGCAGUGGGGAAUAUUGCACAAUGGGGGAAACCCUGAUGCAGCGACGCCGCGUGAGUGAAGAAGUAUUUCGGUAUGUAAAGCUCUAUCAGCAGGGAAGAAAAUGACGGUACCUGACUAAGAAGCCCCGGCUAACUACGUGCCAGCAGCCGCGGUAAUACGUAGGGGGCAAGCGUUAUCCGGAUUUACUGGGUGUAAAGGGAGCGUAGACGGCAUGGCAAGUCAGAUGUGAAAGCCCGGGGCUCAACCCCGGGACUGCAUUUGAAACUGUUUUUCUUGAGUACUGGAGAGGCAGACGGAAUUCCUAGUGUAGCGGUGAAAUGCGUAGAUAUUAGGAGGAACACCAGUGGCGAAGGCGGUCUGCUGGACAGCAACUGACGCUGAGGCGCGAAAGCGUGGGGAGCGAACAGGAUUAGAUACCCGGGUA